rnacentral:rRNA from 1 species
UACAGAGGGUGCAAGCGUUGCUCGGAUUCAUUGGGCGUAAAGCGUCCGCAGGCGGUCUGAAAGGUCUGAUGUGAAAGCCCAGGGCUCAACCCUGGAAGUGCAUCGGAUACCAUCAGACUUGAGUACGGGAGAGGAGAGUGGAAUUCCUGGUGUAGAGGUAAAAUCCGUAGAUAUCAGGAGGAACACCGGCGGCGAAAGCGGCUCUCUGGCCCGAUACUGACGCUCAUGGACGAAAGCGUGGGGAGCAAACAGG